rnacentral:rRNA from 2 species
UAGGGAAUCUUCCACAAUGGACGCAAGUCUGAUGGAGCAACGCCGCGUGAGUGAAGAAGGUUUUCGGAUCGUAAAGCUCUGUUGUUGGUGAAGAAGGAUAGAGGUAGUAACUGGCCUUUAUUUGACGGUAAUCAACCAGAAAGUCACGGCUAACUACGUGCCAGCAGCCGCGGUAAUACGUAGGUGGCAAGCGUUGUCCGGAUUUAUUGGGCGUAAAGCGAGCGCAGGCGGAAGAAUAAGUCUGAUGUGAAAGCCCUCGGCUUAACCGAGGAACUGCAUCGGAAACUGUUUUUCUUGAGUGCAGAAGAGGAGAGUGGAAUUCCAUGUGUAGCGGUGGAAUGCGUAGAUAUAUGGAAGAACACCAGUGGUGAAGGCGACUCUCUGGUCUGCAACUGACGCUGAGGCUCGAAAGCAUGGGUAGCGAACAGG